CGGUUGAUCCCGCCGGACCUGACUGCUAUCGGAUUGAUACUAAGCCAUGCGAGUCAUUGUAGUAAUACAAGGCAGACGGCUCAGUAACGCGUAGUCAACCUAACCUAUGGGCGGGGAUAACCUCGGGAAACUGAGAAUAAUACCCGAUAGAACAUUAUGCCUGGAACGGUUUAUGUUUCAAAUAAUUUAUUGCCGUAGGAUGGGACUGCGGCCUAUCAGUUUGUUGGUGAGGUAAUGGCCCACCAAGGCUAUUACAGGUACGGGCUCUGAGAGGAGUAGCCCGGAGAUGGGUACUGAGACACGGACCCAGGCCCUAUGGGGCGCAGCAGGCGAGAAAACUUUGCAAUGUGCGAAAGCACGACAAGGUUAAUCCGAGUGGUUUCUGCUAAAGGAACCUUUUGCCAGUCCUAGAAACACUGGUGAAUAAGGGGUGGGCAAGUUCUGGUGUCAGCCGCCGCGGUAAAACCAGCACCUCAAGUGGUCAGGAUGAUUAUUGGGCCUAAAGCAUCCGUAGCCUGCUUUGUUAGUUUUCGGUUAAAUCUAUUCGCUCAACGAAUAGGCUGCCGGGAAUACUGCAAAGCUAGGGAGUGGGAGAGGUAGACGGUACUCGG
rnacentral:rRNA from 1 species